GAGUUUGAUCGUGGCUCAGAUUGAACGCUGGCGGCAUGCCUUACACAUGCAAGUCGAACGGCAGCAUGAUCUAGCUUGCUAGAUUGAUGGCGAGUGGCGAACGGGUGAGUAAUACAUCGGAACGUGCCCUGUAGUGGGGGAUAACUAGUCGAAAGAUUAGCUAAUACCGCAUACGACCUGAGGGUGAAAGUGGGGGACCGCAAGGCCUCAUGCUAUAGGAGCGGCCGAUGUCUGAUUAGCUAGUUGGUGGGGUAAAGGCCCACCAAGGCGACGAUCAGUAGCUGGUCUGAGAGGACGAUCAGCCACACUGGGACUGAGACACGGCCCAGACUCCUACGGGAGGCAGCAGUGGGGAAUUUUGGACAAUGGGCGAAAGCCUGAUCCAGCAAUGUCGCGUGUGUGAAGAAGGCCU
rnacentral:rRNA from 1 species